AUACAUCUUUAUGGACUAUUCACGUGAACAAAUAAUUAAUUUUUAUUGAUGUGACUUAUAUAUCAUGUCAUUCAUAUACUGAACAGAUGAUGGAAAUUGAUGUUUUGUUAAACCAUUAUUAGCAACUUGCAAUGCUAUGGUCAGUUGUUCCAAACCUGGCUCAUCUGUUGACUUGAUGUUUAACCUAGGGGUAAGUAAUGAUGAGAGUCAAAUUGCCUAGCCUAUAGAUGGGUGCGUUGGGCAUCAAUCCAUGAUCAGAAACUCCAUAAAAUAAUACUGUGUUUCCCUGAAAAUAAGAUCUAAUCAAAAAAUAAGCCCUAGCAUGAUUUUUCAGGGUACUCCUAAUAUAAGCCCUAGUUAAGAUCGCCAGCCUGAUUCAGGCCGGAAUUCGUGAUUCGGAGCCUUAUGACGAUGUUCCAGAAGAAGAUGGCAUGACUAUAUUAGUAUAAAUAAUUUUGUUCAUUUUUGAAUGUUUCUUGAAUAUGAAUAAAUGUAUUUCUUGAACCUGAAGAAAUAUAUGUUUCUUGAACAUGAAAAAAUAUUAAUUAUUGUGCAUAAAAAAUAAGACAUCCCCUGUAAAUAAGACCUAGCAUGUCUUCUACAGCUAAAAUUAAUAUAAGACCGGGUCUUAUUUUCGGGGAAACACGGUAUAUAAAACAAUUUAACACACAAACAAGCCAGGCCUGGAGCCAGCUUGAAAAACUGAAGAUGCGAGACACAGAAUCAAUCUUCAGUUUUUGCAUCUUCAGAAUUGCAUGUUUUAAAGCACCCUAUGAAUGCUUUAAAACAUGGUCAUCUGGCUGAGUUUUUUAGGCCUAGUGUUAUUGUGCACUUAAUGAAUAAUAGUGUAAAUAUGUUUUUAGAUUUUUAUGUGCAU
rnacentral:lncRNA from 1 species